GACGGCGUGCCUUUUGCAUAAUGAGCCUACGAGUUAGUGUUGUUGGCAAGGUUAAUAUUUUAAGAGUAGAAGCCGAAGCGAAAGCGAGUCUUAACAGGGCGAUCAGUCAGCAGUACUAGACGCGAAACUUGGUGAUCUACCCAUGACCAGGAUGAAGGUGCGGUAACACGCACUGGAGGACCGAACCAUUUAAUGUUGAAAAAUUAUUGGAUGAGUUGUGUUUAGGGGUGAAAGGCCAAUCAAGCCGGGAAAUAGCUGGUUCUCCGCGAAAACUAUUGAGGUAGUGCCUCGGAUGUUUUCCUAUGGGGGUAGAGCACUGGAUGGGCUAGGGGGU
rnacentral:rRNA from 12 species